GCCUGGGUGGCUCAGUGAGUUGAGCAUCUGACUUCAGCUCAGGUCAUAAUCUCAUGGUUCGUGGGUUCAAACCUUGUGUCAGGCU
rnacentral:tRNA from 1 species